GACGAACGCUGGCGGCGUGCUUAACACAUGCAAGUCGAACGACGCGCUCCCGCUUGCGGGGGUGAUUAGUGGCGAACGGGUGAGUAAUACGUGAGUAACCUGCCCUUGACUCUGAGAUAAGCCUGGGAAACCGGGGCUAAUACUGGAUACUACUUACUGCCGCAUGGUGGGGGGUGGAUAGGGUUUUACUGGUUUUGGAUGGGCUCACGGCCGAUCAGCUUGUUGGUGGAGUAAUGGCUGACCAAGGCGACGCCGGGUAGCCGGACCGGGAGGGUGACCGGGCACACUGAGACUGGGACUGGGCCCAGGCUCCAACGGGUAGGAGCAGCAGGGAAGAUUGAACAAGGGGCGGGAGCCCGAUGCUGAGACGCCGAGGGAGGGAGAACGGUCUUCGCGUUGUAAUCCUCAUGCAGCAUGGAAGAAGCCAAAAGUGACGGUACCUGCAGAAGAAGCGCCGGCUAACUACGUG
rnacentral:rRNA from 1 species